CGUAGGGUGCGAGCGUUAAUCGGAAUUACUGGGCGUAAAGCGUGCGCAGGCGGUUUUGUAAGACAGAUGUGAAAUCCCCGGGCUCAACCUGGGACCUGCAUUUGUGACUGCAAGGCUAGAGUACGGUAGAGGGGGAUGGAAUUCCGCGUGUAGCAGUGAAGUGCGUAGAUAUGCGGAGGAACACCGAUGGCGAAGGCAAUCCCCUGGACCUGUACUGACGCUCAUGCACGAAAGCGUGGGGAGCAAACAGGAUUAGAUACCCUGGUAGUCCACGCCCUAAACGAUGUCAACUGGUUGUUGGGUCUUUACUGACUCAGUAACGAAGCUAACGCGUGAAGUUGACCGCCUGGGGAGUACGGCCGCAAGGUUG
rnacentral:rRNA from 1 species